rnacentral:rRNA from 1 species
CAACGUAAACAACCUGCCUUCAGGAUGGGGACAACAGACGGAAACGACUGCUAAUACCGAAUAAGUUCCAAGAGCCGCAUGGCCCAUGGAAGAAAAAGGUGGCCUCUACCUGUAAGCUAUCGCCUGAAGAGGGGUUUGCGUCUGAUUAGCUGGUUGGAGGGGUAACGGCCCACCAAGGCGACGAUCAGUAGCCGGUCUGAGAGGAUGAACGGCCACACUGGAACUGAGACACGGUCCAG